GAUGAACGCUGACAGAAUGCUUAACACAUGCAAGUCCACUUGAACUUCGGUUUGGGUGGCGGACGGGUGAGUAACGCGUAAAGAACUUGCCUCACAGCUAGGGACAACAUUUGGAAACGAAUGCUAAUACCUGAUAUUAUGAUUAUAUGGCAUCGUAUAAUUAUGAAAGCUAUAUGCGCUGUGAGAGAGCUUUGCGUCCCAUUAGCUAGUUGGGGAGGUAACAGCUCACCAAGGCGAUGAUGGGUAGCCGGCCUGAGAGGGUGAUCGGCCACAAGGGGACUGAGACACGGCCCUUACUCAUACGGGAGGCAGCAGUGGGGAAUAUUGGACAAUGGACCGAGAGUCUGAUCCAGCAAUUCUGUGUGCACGAUGAAGUUUUUCGGAAUGUAAAGUGCUUUCAGUUGGGAAGAAAAAAAUGACGGUACCAACAGAAGAAGAGACGGCUAAAUACGUG
rnacentral:rRNA from 1 species